CCACCUUGCACCACUCCUCCAACCCUCCUGGACCAGGACGGGAGCCCGGGGGCUUCAGGGAACAGCUCUCCCAGGGCAAGGCAGAGGCAGCCUGGGUCUUCACGCCAGGGAAGUGAUGUCUCAGUCGGGCUGUGUCUGAAGAAUUGCUGGGCUAUUGUGUCAACUGAGGGCAAAGAAGGAAAAACAGAAGCAAAGAGAACCAUCUCAAAAGUCUUGUAUUUGCUGCUGUUAAAAAAGGCUGCUGUUCAUUUCUUAUUUCCCCAUCUUGCACUACAAAGGAAACAAAAUCAAAUGAGGUGUCUACAUUUGACGGGAUGAAAACACUAGCAACAGUGAAGGUUCGAAUGUCAUUGUGCAGAGAGGGCAAGAGUGAAUUAGGGCCCCGGGGACCGCGGACGCGGGGCAAGGAGACUGCCUGAAAUACGAGACGAACCUGUUUUGUGAGAUGCACUUGGGUUUAGGG